AUACUUACCUGGCAAGGGAGAUACCAUGAUCAGCGAAGGUGGUUUUCCCAGGGCGAGGCUUAUCCAUUGCACUCCGGAUGUGUUGACCCCUGCGAUUUCCCCAAAUGUGGGAAACUUGACUGCACAAUUUGUGGUAGUGGGUGACUGCAUUCGCGCUUUCCCCUG
ensembl:snRNA U1 U1 spliceosomal RNA